rnacentral:lncRNA from 1 species
AGAGGAUAGUGACAUGAAGAAUGAGAAGAAAAGUGGAGGUGAUCACAUGGAGUAUUCAUGCCAGAUUAAGCCUUGUUAUUUAAGACUCUUGAACUAGCGUCUUACAAGGUUUCUGGAAAAGCUUUGCGUUGUGUGUGAGAGCUAUGGAGGAAAGGCAUCAUUAUGGAGGAAUCCUAAUUGUAAAUUGAACCACAUAAUUUUCUCCAUCCCCAAAUUAGCAGUAUAAGCAGGUUACUUCUUUUCCUAGCCAAGAUGGCAGAUAGGAAAUUGUGACUGCAUUUUGGCCGUCCCAGGGCAAGAACUCAAGUUUCAGUGCAAGACCUUCACUAUUGGCUUCAGCUACUUCACGGAAUUGUACUUGUGGGCUCAGAUGGGCUGAGGACCUGGGAGACAGACAAUUGGGACCAGCAGUUGGGUGUGGACUCUCUCAAAAAAGCAAUACUUUACGUGCUCUUGGAAGUC